rnacentral:rRNA from 1 species
GGGGAACGCUGGCGGGCGUGCUUACACAUGCAAGUCGAACGGAAAGGCCCUGCUUGCAGGGUACUCGAGUGGCGAACGGGUGAGUAACACGUGGGUGAUCUGCCCUGCACUUCGGGAUAAGCCUGGGAAACUGGGUCUAAUACCGGAUAGGAGCCAUUUUUAGUGUGAUGGUUGGAAAGUUUUUUCGGUGUAGGAUGAGCUCGCGGCCUAUCAGCUUGUUGGUGGGGUAAUGGCCUACCAAGGCGGCGACGGGUAGCCGGCCUGAGAGGGUGGACGGCCACAUUGGGACUGAGAUACGGCCCAGACUCCUACGGGAGGCAGCAGUGGGGAAUAUUGCACAAUGGGCGCAAGCCUGAUGCAGCGACGCCGCGUGGGGGAUGACGGCCUUCGGGUUGUAAACUCCUUUCGCUAGGGACGAAGCUUUUGUGACGGUACCUAGAUAAGAAGCACCGGCUAACUACGUGCCAGCAGCCGCGGUAAUACGUAGGGUGCGAGCGUUGUCCGGAAUUACUAGGCGUAAAGGGCUCGUAGGUGGUUUGUCGCGUCGUCUGUGAAAUUCCGGGGCUUAACUCCGGGCGUGCAGGCGAUACGGGCAUAACUUGAGUACUGUAGGGGUAACUGGAAUUCCUGGUGUAGCGGUGAAAUGCGCAGAUAUCAGGAGGAACACCGAUGGCGAAGGCAGGUUACUGGGCAGUUACUGACGCUGAGGAGCGAAAGCAUGGGUAGCGAACAGGAUUAGAUACCCUGGUAGUCCAUGCCGUAAACGGUGGGCGCUAGGUGUGAGGGUCUUUUCACGACUUUCGUGCCGUAGCUAACGCAUUAAGCGCCCCGCCUGGGGAGUACGGCCGCAAGGCUAAAACUCAAAUGAAUUGACGGAAGGC